AAAUUGAAGAGUUUGAUCAUGGCUCAGAUUGAACGCUGGCGGCAGGCCUAACACAUGCAAGUCGAACGGUAACAGGAAGCAGCUUGCUGCUUUGCUGACRAGUGGCGGACGGGUGAGUAAUGUCUGGGAAACUGCCUGAUGGAGGGGGAUAACUACUGGAAACGGUGGCUAAUACCGCAUAACGUCGCAAGACCAAAGAGGGGGACCUUCGGGCCUCUUGCCAUCAGAUGUGCCCAGAUGGGAUUAGCUUGUUGGUGAGGUAACGGCUCACCAAGGCGACGAUCCCUAGCUGGUCUGAGAGGAUGACCAGCCACACUGGAACUGAGACACGGUCCAGACUCCUACGGGAGGCAGCAGUGGGGAAUAUUGCACAAUGGGCGCAAGCCUGAUGCAGCCAUGCCGCGUGUAUGAAGAAGGCCUUCGGGUUGUAAAGUACUUUCAGCGGGGAGGAAGGUGUUGUGGUUAAUAACCGCAGCAAUUGACG
rnacentral:rRNA from 1 species